rnacentral:rRNA from 1 species
CAGUCGAGGGGCAGCAUGGUCUUAGCUUGCUAAGGCCGAUGGCGACCGGCGCACGCGGUGAGUAACACGUAUCCAACCUGCCGUCUACUCUUGGACAGCCUUCUGAAAGGAAGAUUAAUACAAGAUGGCAUCAUGAGUUCACAUGUUCACAUGAUUAAAGGUAUUUUCCGGUAGACGAUGGGGAUGCGUUCCAUUAGAUAGUAGGCGGGGUAACGGCCCACCUAGUCAACGAUGGAUAGGGGUUCUGAGAGGAAGGUCCCCCACAUUGGAACUGAGACACGGUCCAAACUCCUACGGGAGGCAGCAGUGAGGAAUAUUGGUCAAUGGGCGAUGGCCUGAACCAGCCAAGUAGCGUGAAGGAUGACUGCCCUAUGGGUUGUAAACUUCUUUUAUAAAGGAAUAAAGUCGGGUAUGCAUACCCGUUUGCAUGUACUUUAUGAAUAAGGAUCGGCUAACUCCGUGCCAGCAGCCGCGGUAAUACGGAGGAUCCGAGCGUUAUCCGGAUUUAUUGGGUUUAAAGGGAGCGUAGAUGGAUGUUUAAGUCAGUUGUGAAAGUUUGCGGCUCAACCGUAAAAUUGCAGUUGAUACUGGAUGUCUUGAGUGCAGUUGAGGCAGGCGGAAUUCGUGGUGUAGCGGUGAAAUGCUUAGAUAUCACGAAGAACUCCGAUUGCGAAGGCAGCCUGCUAAGCUGCAACUGACAUUGAGGCUCGAAAGUGUGGGUAUCAAACAGGAUUAGAUACCCUGGUAGUCCACACGGUAAACGAUGAAUACUCGCUGU